rnacentral:lncRNA from 13 species
AUGUUCUUCAUCACGCGACCCUUGAAUAUUCAAAGUCGAGAGCCUAAAAGCGUCGAGGAGGACAAUACAUCUCUGUAUUUUAAAAGGUUUUGGCGAUAUAUUAUUAGCCUAUCUGUCUCUACGCUGAAAAAUCCAUUUCGGUUUUUCCGCGAAGCUCCAAAAAUCUAUGAAAUGUGUUUGCAUGUUCUUCUCCGCGAGCGGGGAUGUAGAGGUGGGAUUGCGAGAAUCGAAAGGUUGGAGAGCCCACACGCUCAGUUUCCGAGAAAGCUUGGAGACGGACCGCUUGGACAGUGGGAGCCCUCCCCUCCUCUUCGUUCUGGUUUGUACCCCUUCUCGUUGGCCUUGGGGAGUCUGUAUGGUCAGACUGUUCGGGAUGGUUAUUCAGCCGAGAGGGGCCAAUUACCGCCGUGCUCUGAGCUCCAGGGAGGAAGCACGAGCCAUGUAUCCAGCAGCUCCCACUGACGUAAUCAAUGUAGAGUAGACCUAUAUAAGGGGGGAGAGUGGGUGCUUCGGUGAAAGCAUAGUGGGAAAGUGUUAUUAUGUUUGAUAGUGGCAGUCCUUUUUGUGAUGCUACCAGGAGAAGUAUACUAGUUGGGUGAUACAAAAGGAGCUGUGGUAGAAGUCAUAACUGCAGAAAGUAUAGAUAGCCUUUACAGAUCCUUAGGCUGCUACUGGCAUGAUGGUAAUGACGUCAUUGAGGAAGAUGUAAACAACAACAAUGUCUACACAAACAACACUGUAUUUCUUUAAUAUGUAAGACAUUGGCACAUUUCUUUUUCUCAUAUAACAAUGGAUACACAUAACCUUUUCCCAGCAAUAUAACCAACCUGUUCCUCAUUAUGCAAUCAUUUUUUUCCCUUCUAAUCAUCACCACCAUCAUCAUCAUUAUCAUCAUCAUCUUAGCAGUAGCAGAAUUUGGUAUAUUUCUAUUCAGAGAGAAUACACUGAUUGGUUACAGAAACUGGGGGACUGUUGAGUGACAGAGAAGAGAGACUGUAAGGUCUACAGGUUUGGAAGAUAUUUUAAUUUUAAAAAAAAGUUACCUUUAUUUAACUAGGCAAGUCAGUUAAGAACAAAUUCUUAUUUUACAAUGACGGCUAAACCCUCCCCUAACCCGGACGAUGUUUGACCAAUUGGGACUCCCGGUCCCUAUGGGACUCCCGAUCACGGCCGGUUGGGAUACAGCCCGGGAUCGAACCAGGGUCUGUAGUGAUGCCUCUAACACUGAGAUGCAGUGCGUUAGACCACUGGCAUUUAAAUGCCUAGGGAGCGUGUGAAUGACAUGGAGGAGGAACAGAGUGAGAGUGAUAUUAAGAGAGGGUGAAAACAUGAAGGGAGAGACUGAAUGACAUGGAGGAGGGACGUAGGCUGUUAUAGAGUCAUUGACAUUGGAAGAGG